rnacentral:rRNA from 1 species
AGGGUUUGAUUAUGGCUCAGAACGUACGCUGGCGGCACGCUUAACACAUGCAAGUCGAACGCAGUAGCAAUACUGAGUGGCAGACGGGUGAGUAUAAUGUGGGAAUCUGCCCUUUGGUUCGGAAUAACUCGGGGAAACUUGAGCUAAUACCGGAUAAGCCCUUACGGGGAAAGAUUUAUCGCCGAAAGAUGAGCCCGCACUUGAUUAGCUUGUUGGUGAGGUAAAAGCUCACCAAGGCAACAAUCAAUAGCUGUUCUUAGAGGAAGACCAGCCACAUUGGGACUGAGACACGGCCCAGACUCCUACGGGAGGCAGCAGUGGGGAAUCUUGCACAAUGGGGGAAACCCUGAUGCAGCGAUGCCGCGUGAGUGAAGAAGGCCUUUGGGUUGUAAAACUCUUUCGUCGGGGAAGAAAAUGACUGUACCCGAAUAAGAAGGUCCGGCUAACUUCGUGCCAGCCGCCGCGGUAAUAC